rnacentral:rRNA from 1 species
ACGUACACUCCUGCGGGAGGCAGCAGUGGGGAAUCUUGCGCAAUGGGCGAAAGCCUGACGCAGCCAUGCCGCGUGAAUGAUGAAGGUCUUAGGAUUGUAAAAUUCUUUCACCGGGGACGAUAAUGACGGUACCCGGAGAAGAAGCCCCGGCUAACUUCGUGCCAGCAGCCGCGGUAAUACGAAGGGGGCUAGCGUUGCUCGGAAUUACUGGGCGUAAAGGGAGCGUAGGCGGACAUUUAAGUCAGGGGUGAAAUCCCGGGGCUCAACCUCGGAAUUGCCUUUGAUACUGGGUGUCUUGAGUAUGAGAGAGGUGUGUGGAACUCCGAGUGUAGAGGUGAAAUUCGUAGAUAUUCGGAAGAACACCAGUGGCGAAGGCGACACACUGGCUCAUUACUGACGCUGAGGCUCGAAAGCGUGGGGAGCAAACAGGAUUAGAAACCCCUGUAGUCCCAUGAU